UACCGGCAGCUCGAGUGGUGAUCGAUAUUAUUGGGCCUAAAGCGUCCGUAGCCGGUUAGGUAAAUCUCUGGGUAAAUCGUAUCGCUUAACGAUACGAAUUCCGGAGACACUGCCUGACUUGGGACCGGGAGAGGUUGGAGGUACUCCAGGGGUAGGGGUGAAAUCCUGUAAUCCUUGGGGGACCACCUGUGGCGAAGGCGUCCAACUAGAACGGCUCCGACGGUAAGGGACGAAGCCCUGGGGCGCAAACCGGAUUAGAUACCCGGGUAGUCCAGGGUGUAAACGCUGCGGGCUUGGUGUUGGAGGUUCUACGAGUUCCUCCAGUGCCGGAGAGAAGUUUGUUAAGCCCGCCGCCUGGGGAGUACGGUCGCAAGACUGAAACUUAAAGGAAUUGGCGGGGAGCACUGCAACGGGUGGAGCGUGCGGUUU
rnacentral:rRNA from 1 species